GCCUACGGGGGGCAGCAGUGAGGAAUAUUGGUCAAUGGGCGCAAGCCUGAACCAGCCAAGUCGCGUGAGGGAAGACGGUCCUAUGGAUUGUAAACCUCUUUUGUCGGGGAGCAAAGCGCGGUACGAGUGCCGUGAAGGAGAGUACCCGAAGAAAAAGCAUCGGCUAACUCCGUGCCAGCAGCCGCGGUAAUACGGAGGGUGCGAGCGUUAAUCGGAAUUACUGGGCGUAAAGCGCUCGUAGGCGGUAUGUCAAGUCAAGGGUGAAAUCCCCGCGCUCAACGUGGGAACUGCCUUUGAAACUGGCA
rnacentral:rRNA from 1 species